CAAGUCCGACUUAGGUAAAGGUUAGCCACCAGCCUAACACUUAAUCUCACACUUUAUUUGGUAACAAAUAAAGUGGUGCGGGAAGCGGGAAAUAUCGAGCUAUAACGCAAGUGAAGGAAUUGAGCCCCGAAAUAACCAGCGUGUCAGUGGUCGAUACUCUUCAUUAAGGAGCAGACAAUAGUCU
rfam:Candidatus Desantisbacteria bacterium CG1_02_38_46 cg1_0.2_scaffold_10377_c, whole genome shotgun sequence.